UAAAGUGGAUUAGCGUCGGACGGGUGAGUAACACGUGAGUAACCUGCCUUAGACAUUGGGAUAGCCUCGGGAAACCGGGAUUAAUACCAAAUAAAAUCAUAAUGACACAUGUCAUAACGAUCAAAACUCCGGUGGUCUAAGAUGGACUCGCGUCCCAUUAGCUAGUUGGUAGAGUAAAAGCCUACCAAGGCGACGAUGGGUAGCCGGCCUGAGAGGGUGAACGGCCACAUUGGAACUGAGAAACGGUCCAA
rnacentral:rRNA from 1 species